AGUGAACGCUGGCGGUAGGCCUAACACAUGCAAGUCGAACGGCAGCACAGUAAGAGCUUGCUCUUACGGGUGGCGAGUGGCGGACGGUUGAGGAAUACAUCGGAAUCUACUUUUUCGUGGGGGAUAACGUAGGGAAACUUACGCUAAUACCGCAUACGACCUACGGGUGAAAUCAUGGGAUCUUCGGACCUUUCGCGAUUGAAUGAGCCGAUGUCGGAUUAGCUAGUUGGCGGGGUAAAGGCCCACCAAGGCGACGAUCCGUAGCUGGUCUGAGAGGAUGAUCAGCCACACUGGAACUGAGACACGGUCCAGACUCCUACGGGAGGCAGCAGUGGGGAAUAUUGGACAAUGGGCGAAAGCCUGAUCCAGUCAUACCGCGUGGGUGAAGAAGGCCUUCGGGUUGUAAAGCCCUUUUGUUGGGAAAGAAAAGCAGCAGGUUAAUACCCCGCUGUUCUGACGGUACCCAAAGAAUAAGCACCGGCUAACUUCGUG
rnacentral:rRNA from 1 species